GUGCCAGCAGCCGCGGUAAUACGGAGGGUGCAAGCGUUAAUCGGAAUUACUGGGCGUAAAGCGCACGCAGGCGGUUGGAUAAGUUAGAUGUGAAAGCCCCGGGCUCAACCUGGGAAUUGCAUUUAAAACUGUCCAGCUAGAGUCUUGUAGAGGGGGGUAGAAUUCCAGGUGUAGCGGUGAAAUGCGUAGAGAUCUGGAGGAAUACCGGUGGCGAAGGCGGCCCCCUGGACAAAGACUGACGCUCAGGUGCGAAAGCGUGGGGAGCAAACAGGAUUAGAUACCCCCGUAGUCC
rnacentral:rRNA from 1 species